rnacentral:rRNA from 1 species
AGAGUUUGAUCAUGGCUCAGGAUGAACGCUGGCGGCGUGCUUAACACAUGCAAGUCGAACGAAGUUAGAGAGCUUGCUUUUAAAUUAGUGGCGGACGGGUGAGUAACGCGUGGGUAACCUGCCUUUCACAGGGGGAUAACAGUUAGAAAUGACUGCUAAUACCGCAUAAGCGCACAGGACGGCAUCGUCUAGUGUGAAAAAACUCCGGUGGUGAAAGAUGGACCCGCGUCUGAUUAGCUAGUUGGUGAGGUAACGGCUCACCAAGGCGACGAUCAGUAGCCGGCCUGAGAGGGUGAACGGCCACAUUGGGACUGAGACACGGCCCAAACUCCUACGGGAGGCAGCAGUGGGGAAUAUUGCACAAUGGGGGAAACCCUGAUGCAAGCGACGCCGCGUGAGUGAAGAAGUAUUUCGGUAUGUAAAGCUCUAUCAGCAGGGAAGAAAAUGACGGUACCUGACUAAGAAGCCCCGGCUAACUACGUGCCAGCAGCCGC